AUACGUAGGUGGCGAGCGUUGUCCGGAAUUACUGGGCGUAAAGGGUGCGUAGGCGGAUAAUCAAGUCAGAUGUGAAAGUCCAUGGCUUAACUGUGGGAGUGCAUUUGAGACUGAAGAUCUAGAGUGCAGGAGAGGGAAGCGGAAUUCCUAGUGUAGCGGUGAAAUGCGUAGAUAUUAGGAAGAACACCAGCGGCGAAGGCGGCUUUCUGGACUGUAACUGACGCUGAAGCACGAAAGCGUGGGGAGCAAACAGGAUUAGAUACCCUGGUAGUCCACGCCGUAAACGACGAGUAUUAGGUGUAGGGGACGAUAGUCUUCUGUGCCGGAGCAAACGCAAUAAAUACUCCGCCUGGGGAGUACGGUCACAAGACUAAA
rnacentral:rRNA from 1 species